UACGUAGGGUGCAAGCGUUGUCCGGAAUUAUUGGGCGUAAAGAGCUCGUAGGCGGUCUGUCGCGUCUGCUGUGAAAACUCAGGGCUUAACCCUGAGCUUGCAGUGGGUACGGGCAGACUGGAGUACUGCAGGGGAGACUGGAAUUCCUGGUGUAGCGGUGGAAUGCGCAGAUAUCAGGAGGAACACCGAUGGCGAAGGCAGCUCGCUGGGACGGUACUGA
rnacentral:rRNA from 1 species